AUGAUUUUUUUCUAUGAUUUUGAAGAAGGGAUCCUGGAAGAGGGCUGGGUUUUGGUUGCAGGAAGAAGCCUGAGGAUAUUCUGCAACAUGAGCAAUAUGUCUAACAUUAGAAGGCCACCCAAUUUCCAUCGAAGAAGCAAUAUCAGAACCAGUGGUGCUACAACCAAUCAAAUAUUUUCUAAAGGGAGUAUUUACAGUUUUAUGGUUUGA